rnacentral:rRNA from 1 species
UUGGAGGGCAAGUCUGGUGCCAGCAGCCGCGGUAAUUCCAGCUCCAAUAGCGUAUAUUAAAGUUGUUGCAGUUAAAAAGCUCGUAGUUGAAUUUCGGGAUCAUCAGGUUGGUCAUGCCAUUGGUAUGUACUAGCUUUGGUGGUUCCUACCUCUUGAAGAACCGUAAUGUCAUUAACUUGGUGUUGCGGGGAAUCAGGACUGUUACUUUGAAAAAAUUAGAGUGUUUAAAGCAGGCAAACGCUUGAAUACAUUAGCAUGGAAUAAUGAAAUAGGACGUUUGAUCUUAUUUUGUUGGUUUCUAGGAUCGACGUAAUGAUUAAUAGGGAUAGUUGGGGGCAUUAGUAUUCAAUUGUCAGAGGUGAAAUUCUUGGAUUUAUUGAAGACUAACUACUGCGAAAGCAUUUGCCAAGGAUGUUUUCAUUAAUCAAGAACGAAAGUUAGGGGAUCGAAGACGAUCAGAUACCGUCGUAGUCUUAACCAUAAAUUAUGCCGACUAGGGAUCGGAUGAUGUUAAUUUUUUAAUGAAUCAUUCGGCGCCUUACGGGAAAC